UACGUAGGGUGCAAGCGUUGUCCGGAAUUAUUGGGCGUAAAGAGCUCGUAGGCGGUUUGUCGCGUCUGCUGUGAAAACCCGAGGCUCAACCUCGGGCCUGCAGUGGGUACGGGCAGACUAGAGUGUGGUAGGGGAGACUGGAAUUCCGUGGUGUAGCGGUGGAAUGCGCAGAUAUCAGGAGGAACACCGAUGGCGAAGGCAGGUCUC
rnacentral:rRNA from 1 species